rnacentral:rRNA from 1 species
UACGUAGGGACCAAGCGUUGUUCGGAUUUACUGGGCGUAAAGGGCGCGUAGGCGGCAAUUCAAGUCACUUGUGAAAUCUCCGGGCUUAACUCGGAACGGCCAAGUGAAACUGUCAAGCUAGAGUGCAGAAGGGGCAAUCGGAAUUCUUGGUGUAGCGGUGAAAUGCGUAGAUAUCAAGAGGAACACCUGAGGUGAAGACGGGUUGCUGGGCUGACACUGACGCUGAGGCGCGAAAGCCAGGGGAGCAAACGGG